AUUGAACGCUGGCGGCAUGCCUUACACAUGCAAGUCGAACGGUAACAGGUCUUCGGAUGCUGACGAGUGGCGAACGGGUGAGUAAUACAUCGGAACGUGCCUAGUAGUGGGGGAUAACUACUCGAAAGAGUGGCAAAUCCCGCAUGCGAUCGACGGAUGAAGGCAGGGGAUCGCAAGCGCUUGUGCUAUUAGAGCGGACCAUGGCAGAUUAGGUAGUUGGUGGGAUAAAAGCUUACCAAGCGGACGAUCUGUAGCUGGUCUGAGAGGACGAUCAGCCACACUGGGACUGAGACACGGCCCAGACUCCUACGGGAGGCAGCAGUGGGGAAGUUUGGACAAUGGGCGCAAGCCUGAUCCAGCAAUGCCGCGUGCAGGAUGAAGGCCUUCGGGUUGUAAACUGCUUUUGUACGGAACGAAAAGCCCUGGGUUAAUACCCUGGGGUCAUGACGGUACCGUAAGAAUAAGCACCGGCUAACUACGUGCCAGCAGCCGCGGUAA
rnacentral:rRNA from 1 species